GAAGCCGGAAUGAAUGAAUCUGAUUAUGAGAGUGAUGAAGGAGACAUAUGCAUCCCAAAAUUUAAAAAAGAAAAGUACAUGGAAUCCCCCUAAAAGCAAAAAACGACAAUUUGGAAUCAUUCAUUACAUCAGUCAAAGCUGAAGUCAGAUCUUCAAUCAGUGGUAAACAAGUCAGAAAUAUUUCAAAGUCAGAAAGUCAAGCCAUGAUAAACUUAAA
rnacentral:lncRNA from 1 species